rnacentral:rRNA from 1 species
UACAGAGGUCCCAAGCGUUGUUCGGAUUCACUGGGCGUAAAGGAUGCGUAGGCGGUCGGGUAAGUCUGACGUGAAAUCUCCAAGCUCAACUUGGAAAUGGCGUCGGAUACUAUUCGGCUGGAGGAAUGGAGGGGAGACUGGAAUUCUCGGUGUAGCAGUGAAAUGCGUAGAUAUCGAGAGGAACACCAGUGGCGAAGGCGAGUCUCUGGACAUUUCCUGACGCUGAGGCACGAAAGCCAGGGGAGCAAACGGG